UACAGAGGGUGCAAGCGUUGUUCGGAAUUAUUGGGCGUAAAGCGCGUGUAGGCGGCUUUGCAAGUCGGGUGUGAAAGCCCUCAGCUCAACUGAGGAAGUGCGCCCGAAACUGCAGAGCUUGAGUACCGGAGAGGAUGGCGGAAUUCCCCAAGUAGAGGUGAAAUUCGUAGAUAUCCGGAGGAACACCGGUGGCGAAGGCGGCUUCCUGGACCGACACUGACGCUGAGGCGCGAAAGCUAGGGGAGCAAACGGG
rnacentral:rRNA from 1 species